GGCCUUUGCACGGUCUUCCAGUGGCACAAGAUGCUCCCCAUGCCCUCUUCCCCAUUCACCUGGCUCAUCUCAACCCACCCUGCAGACUGCAGCUUAGACGGCACCUCUCCUGGCAAGCCUUCCCUGACCCUCCACGAGGAUAGCGCCCUAUCUGUGCAUUCCUGUUUCAAGUGCCCCUAUAUUCUCACUUCCAAAACUUUAGUGUGCCUGCCUGUUUAUUUUUUAGAAACUUCCUCUAAAUUGUAAGAUCCCUGAAAAAGAAAUUUUAUGUUAUUCAUCCUUACAUCCCAUUUCUAACACAGUAUCUGGCCCAUAAUAGGUGCUCAAUAAAUAUUUAUUGUUGCUAUUAUAGAAUUCCGAACUCAGAGCCAUUUUCGAUUGUCAGCAGUUUAGUAACACUUUAGUACCUCUGAGUGGCAUGUUCAUGUUUGUCGUUGUCAGGUGGUUCCUCUGAGCGCCUGUUGUCAUAGAGAGCUGCCUAUAAAUCACCAGCAUGCUGUUAGGUUGCUGUUCACACAUUUGGGCACUCACCCUAUGACCAGCUGAGAAAAACGCUCAUUUCACUUUUCUGGAAUGGAGAAGGAAGUACAUUUUGCAGUGUCUCCCCAAGGUCAUGGAAUCAUGGGACUCUUCCUUGCCUCCUUUGUAUAGAUGAUCCAGAUCUGUGAAAGUGACCGCAGAUGGGGUCUGCUCCAAGAUGACUUCAUGAGAGGAUGGCAAAGGAUCAUUUGUUACCAUUUAUGGCUGCCGCAGAUCUGCCUCGAGACUCCGUUUCCGCGGUUUGUCCAGUUUGUCCACGGAAGUGCAGCCUGGAAUCUUUCCUGCUUCUGCACGUCAGAAAUCUACUCAACAAGCAGGUGCAUGGGAGAGAGGUGAGGCCAGGGGUUCUGGAGUCAGCAAGAGUGGCCUUUGGCAGCUGGAGCUAUUUGAACUCUAAGCCUGUAUUUUCCCAGCUGGAAAGUAGGGCUAAUAACAGCGUCUACUUCAUAGGAUUUUCGUAA
rnacentral:lncRNA from 1 species